rnacentral:lncRNA from 1 species
ACGGCCGUGCUCACUCACGCCUGUCGGUGCGCGGUCCAGCCUGGGACAUGUCGGCGCAGAUGAAGGAGACGCGCAGAGCCAGGGGGUUGCCUGCAAGCACCAGCUGAAGCCGACACUGAAAGUACAGCAAAAAAGGACACGUGACGUCUUCAGCAUGGGGCCGCUACACAUCAAGGCAGCCUGGAAAACAACUUUAGGCCUGUGAAUGUGUCAGUCUCACAUCUUGGGAUCCAUGCACAGAGGUUUCUUCCUUGCUUUUAGGUUUUUUGGAAAUAAACCCAAGCAACUUGGAAGCA